rnacentral:rRNA from 1 species
UUUGUGGAGAGUUUGAUCCUGGCUCAGGACGAACGCUGGCGGCGUGCUUAACACAUGCAAGUCGAACGGAAAGGCCUUCCAGCUUGCUGGGGGUACUCGAGUGGCGAACGGGUGAGUAACACGUGGGUGAUCUGCCCUGCACUUCGGGAUAAGCCUGGGAAACUGGGUCUAAUACCGGAUAGGACCCUCCUUUAGUGUGGGGGGUGGAAAGUUUUUUCGGUGCAGGAUGAGCCCGCGGCCUAUCAGCUUGUUGGUGGGGUAAUGGCCUACCAAGGCGUCGACGGGUAGCCGGCCUGAGAGGGUGGACGGCCACAUUGGGACUGAGAUACGGCCCAGACUCCUACGGGAGGCAGCAGUGGGGAAUAUUGCACAAUGGGCGCAAGCCUGAUGCAGCGACGCCGCGUGGGGGAUGACGGCCUUCGGGUUGUAAACCUCUUUCGACAGGGACGAAGCUUUUUGUGACGGUACCUGUAUAAGAAGCACCGGCUAACUACGUGCCAGCAGCCGCGGUAAUACGUAGGGUGCGAGCGUUGUCCGGAAUUACUGGGCGUAAAGAGCUCGUAGGUGGUUUGUCGCGUCGUCUGUGAAAUUCCGGGGCUUAACUCCGGGCGUGCAGGCGAUACGGGCAAUACUUGAGUGCUGUAGGGGAGACUGGAAUUCCUGGUGUAGCGGUGAAAUGCGCAGAUAUCAGGAGGAACACCAAUGGCGAAGCGCAGGUCUCUGGGCAGUAACUGACGCUGAGGAGCGAAAGCAUGGGUAGCGAACAGGAUUAGAUACCCUGGUAGUCCAUGCCGUAAACGGUGGGCGCUAGGUGUAGGGGUCUUCCACGACUUCUGUGCCGUAGCUAACGCAUUAAGCGCCCCGCCUGGGGAGUACGGCCGCAAGGCUAAAACUCAAAGGAAUUGACGGGGGCCCGCACAAGCGGCGGAGCAUGUGGAUUAAUUCGAUGCAACGCGAAGAACCUUACCUGGGCUUGACAUACACCGGACCGGGCCAGAGAUGGUCUUUCCCUUGUGGCUGGUGUACAGGUGGUGCAUGGUUGUCGUCAGCUCGUGUCGUGAGAUGUUGGGUUAAGUCCCGCAACGAGCGCAACCCUUGUCUUAUGUUGCCAGCACGUUAUGGUGGGGACUCAUGAGAGACUGCCGGGGUCAACUCGGAGGAAGGUGGGGAUGACGUCAAAUCAUCAUGCCCCUUAUGUCCAGGGCUUCACACAUGCUACAAUGGUCGGUACAACGCGUCGCGACAUCGUAAGGUGGAGCUAAUCGCUGAAAGCCGGCCUCAGUUCGGAUUGGGGUCUGCAACUCGACCCCAUGAAGUCGGAGUCGCUAGUAAUCGCAGAUCAGCAACGCUGCGGUGAAUACGUUCCCGGGCCUUGUACACACCGCCCGUCACGUCAUGAAAGUUGGUAACACCCGAAGCCAGUGGCCCAACACUUUUGUGGGGGAGCUGUCGAAGCGUGGGAUCGGCGAUUGGGACGAAGUCGUAACAAGGUAGCCGUACCGGAAGCGUGCGGCUGGAUCACCUCCUUU